GAUCAUGGCUCAGGAUUAACGUUGGCAGUGCGCCUAACACAUGCAAGUCGAGCGAUAUAGCGGCAGACGAGAGAGUAAUAGUAAGGAACUUACCCCCGAGUGAAGGAUAGCCAGCCGAAAGGUUGGGUAAUCCUGCAUAAUAUCGAAAGAUCAAAGCCUUCGGGCGCUUGGGGAGAGGCCUUACUCCUAUCAGCUAGUUGGUGAGGUAAAGGGCUCACCAAGGCGAUGACGGGUAGCUGGUCUGAGAGGAUGAUCAGCCUCGAUGGGACUGAGACACGGCCCAUACUCCUACGGGAGGCAGCAGUUGGGGAUUUUGCACAAUGGAGGAAACUCUGAUGCAGCGACACUGCGUGAAGGAUGAAGGUUUUCGGAUCGUAAACUUCUUUUAGUGGGGAGUAAUCUUGAAAGUACCCACUGAAUAAGGACCGGCUAACUACGUG
rnacentral:rRNA from 1 species